AUGGCCUUAUAUCUCCGACAACGGACAGUUUACUAGCCUUACCAGGUAUGACACGGCCUUAUAUCUCGGACAACGAACAGUUUACUAGCCUUACCAGGUAUGACACGGCCUAAUAUCUCGGACAAUAGACAGUUUACUAGCCUUACCAGUUAUGACGCGGCCUUAUAUCUCCGACAACGGACAGUUUACUAGCCUUACCAGGUAUGACACGGCCUUAUAUCUCGGACAACGGACAGUUUACUAGCCUUACCAGGUAUGACAUGGCCUUAUAUUUCGGACAACGGACAGUUUACUAGCCUUACCAGGUAUGACACGGCCUUAUAUCUCGGACAACGAACAGUUUACUAGCCUUACCAGGUAUGACACGGCCUAAUAUCUCGGACAAUAGACAGUUUACUAGCCUUACCAGGUAUGACACGGCCUAAUAUCUCGGACAAUAGACAGUUUACUAGCCUUACCAGGUAUGACACGGCCUUAUAUCUCCGACAACGAACAGUUUACUAGCCUUACCAGGUAUAACAUGGCCUUAUAUCUCGGACAACGAACAGUUUACUAGCCUUACCAGGUAUGACACGGCCUAAUAUCUCGGACAAUAGACAGUUUACUAGCCUUACCAGGUAUGACACGGCCUUAUAUCUCCGACAACGGACAGUUUACUAGCCUUACCAGGUAUGACAUGGCCUUAUAUCUCGGACAACAGACAGUUUACUAGCCUUACCAGGUAUGACACGGCCUUAUAUCUCGGACAACGGACAGUUUACUAGCCUUACCAGGUAUGACACGGCCUUAUAUCUCGGACAACGGACAGUUUACUAGCCUUACCGGGUAUGACAUGGUCUUAUAUCUCCCACAACGGACAGUUUACUAGCCUUACCAGUUAUGACAUGGCCUUAUAUCUCGGACAACAGACAGUUUACUAGCAUUACCAGGUAUGACACGGCCUUAUAUCUCGGACAACGAACAGUUUACUAGCCUUACCAGGUAUGACACGGCCUUAUAUCUCCGACAAUAGAUAGUUUACUAGCCUUACCAGGUAUGACAUGGCCUUAUAUCUCCGACAACGGACAGUUUACUAGCCUUACCAGGUAUGACACGGCCUUAUAUCUCCGACAACGGACAGUUUACUAGCCUUACCAGGUAUGACACGGCCUUAUAUCUCCGACAACGGACAGUUUACUAGCCUUACCAGGUAUGACAUGGCCUUAUAUCUCGGACAACAGACAGUUUACUAGCCUUACCAGGUAUGACACGGCCUUAUAUCUCCGACAACGGACAGUUUACUAGCCUUACCAGGUAUGACACGGCCUUAUAUCUCCGACAACGGACAGUUUACUAGCCUUACCAGGUAUGGCACGGCCUUAUAUCUCCGACAACGGACAGGUAAAUAGCCUUAUCCUGUAUGACAUGGCCUUAUAUCUCCGACAACGGACAGUUUACUAGCCUUACCAGGUAUGACACGGCCUGAUAUCUCCGACAACGGACAGUUUACUAGCCUUAC